GCGUGAGUGAUGAAGGUCUUAGGAUUGUAAAGCUCUUUCGGCGGGGAAGAUGAUGACGGUACCCGCAGAAGAAGCCCCGGCUAACUUCGUGCCAGCAGCCGCGGUAAUACGAAGGGGGCUAGCGUUGUUCGGAAUUACUGGGCGUAAAGGGCGUGUAGGCGGCUUGCAAAGUCGGGCGUGAAAGCCCCGGGCUCAACCCGGGAAUUGCGUUCGAUACUGGCGAGCUAGAGUUCGGGAGAGGGUCGUGGAAUUCCCAGUGUAGAGGUGAAAUUCGU
rnacentral:rRNA from 1 species